rnacentral:rRNA from 1 species
AGGUUCGAUUCUGGCUCAGGAUGAACGCUGGCGGCGUGCUUAACACAUGCAAGUCGAACGGAGUUUUUAACGGAAGUUUCGGAUGGAAGUUAAGAACUUAGUGGCGGACGGGUGAGUAACGCGUGGUAACCUGCCUCAUACAGGGGGAUAACAGUUAGAAAUGACUGCUAACACCGCAUAAUAUAGCGAAACCGCAUGAUUUUUGCUAUCAAAUAUUUAUAGGUAUGAGAUGGGCCCGCGUCUGAUUAGCUAGUUGGUGGGGUAAAAGCCUACCAAGGCGACGAUCAGUAGCCGGCUUGAGAGAGUGACCGGCCACAUUGGGACUGAGACACGGCCCAAACUCCUACGGGAGGCAGCAGUGGGGAAUAUUGGACAAUGGGGGGAACCCUGAUCCAGCGACGCCCGCGUGAGUGAAGAAGUAUUUCGGUAUGUAAAGCUCUAUCAGCAGGGAAGAUAAUGACAGUACCUGACUAAGAAGCCCCGGCUAACUACGUGCCAGCAGCAGC